GUGCUCACUUCGGCAGCACAUAUACUAAAAUUGGAACAAUAUAGAGAAGAUUAGCAUGGCCCCUGCACAAGGAUGACACACAAAUUCGUGAAGCAUUCCAUAUUUUU
rnacentral:snRNA from 1 species